rnacentral:rRNA from 1 species
GGCUCAGGACGAACGCUGGCGGCGUGCCUAAUACAUGCAAGUCGAGCGAACCGACGGGAGCUUGCUCCCUUAGGUUAGCGGCGGACGGGUGAGUAACACGUGGGUAACCUGCCUGUAAGACUGGGAUAACUCCGGGAAACCGGGGCUAAUACCGGAUGCUUGAUUGAACCGCAUGGUUCAAUUAUAAAAGGUGGCUUUUAGCUACCACUUACAGAUGGACCCGCGGCGCAUUAGCUAGUUGGUGAGGUAACGGCUCACCAAGGCGACGAUGCGUAGCCGACCUGAGAGGGUGAUCGGCCACACUGGGACUGAGACACGGCCCAGACUCCUACGGGAGGCAGCAGUAGGGAAUCUUCCGCAAUGGACGAAAGUCUGACGGAGCAACGCCGCGUGAGUGAUGAAGGUUUUCGGAUCGUAAAACUCUGUUGUUAGGGAAGAACAAGUACCGUUCGAACAGGGCGGUGCCUUGACGGUACCUAACCAGAAAGCCACGGCUAACUACGUGCCAGCAGCCGCGGUAAUACGUAGGUGGCAAGCGUUGUCCGGAAUUAUUGGGCGUAAAGCGCGCGCAGGCGGUUUCUUAAGUCUGAUGUGAAAGCCCCCGGCUCAACCGGGGAGGGUCAUUGGAAACUGGGGAACUUGAGUGCAGAAGAGGAGAGUGGAAUUCCACGUGUAGCGGUGAAAUGCGUAGAGAUGUGGAGGAACACCAGUGGCGAAGGCGACUCUCUGGUCUGUAACUGACGCUAGCGCG